rnacentral:ncRNA from 2 species
GUUAUAGUGUUGUCACACGGUUCUUACGUUUUAGUCAAAAUGUAAGAUAAAAGGGAAUACGGUGCGGUGUUUGAACCAUCUUUUCAAACAUCUAUGCCAUAGCUGCCCCCGCAACUGUAAUCAGCGAGUUAUUUGUUACGCUUGUUUAAAAAGCACUUGCCACUGAAUUGGAUAUUGUCAAUUUGGGAAGGCCAACAAAUAGCGAUGACCUGAGAGCCAGGAGACCUGCCGUGUACAUUUUUUGUGC